ACGGUAGUUUGAUAAGGUGUAGUGAAAAUUUAUUCCUCAGGAUUAAUUAAAACUGUAUUAAACCCUAUUACAUUGUUAAACGUGUUUCCAUAUAAUAAGAAAGGAUGUAAUUUUUAUAUUAAAACUUCAAAAUGUGAUUUUUAAUUUGGAAUAAAAUGAAAAUGACGCUAAAUGUGAAAAAAGUGAAAAUUCUAACCAAAUCUUUUGGGAAAUAUAGGAUCAGAGGUGGGUAUUUUUAUAAUGUGAUGUAAUAUGUUUAUUAAAAAUUAUAUAUAAUAAAUAGUGAACAACUUUUUUUUUUUUUUACUUAAUUGUAAAAAGACCUUAUUAACUUGAAUUUUCAUUAGAUUUUUGGGGAAUUUUAGAUUGAGCUUUGAUACUAUUUGAUGUGUGUAAAAACUUUGAAACUGAUGUGGAAAUCCAUGCAUUAAGGGAAAUUAGAUACUUGAUAAAACUAUUCUAUUUUAUGAGUUUGCAAACACAUUUUUCAUUUCCAUAGCCCUGAUCACACUCUUGCUCUAUUGUUGGCAAUGUUUUUCAUGGGGGAAAAUGUUGGAUAGCGCUUUCAAUCCUAAAACUAUUCCACAUUGUGGUACAUUUGUAAAAGUCAGUCUCAGUUUUAAUGUUGGCAUGACAAAAAUCAUAAAGUCAAUUCAAAGUACUAUUAGAAAAUCAUAGAGAAGACAGCAUUACUUUUGUCAAAAAAAAAAUCCACAUGAAUAAAAAUAAGAAUUUAACUGACAAAUCAAGAAAAAUGUCUUGCUUAACAUCUGUUUCCAUAGAGCUUAAGACAGCUUCAUCUGAAAGUAUCAUAACCAUUUACAUGAAUUACAUUUCAACAUAGGUCUUAAGUUGUUUCCUUUUUACGAUUUACUAAAGAAAAAGAAAAAAAAUCAUUCGAGACAAGGCGCCAUGCUCUGUUCCAGUGGAUGCAUUCCCAAAUAUAAUCAAAAACCAAAUACACA
rnacentral:lncRNA from 1 species